AGGAAUAUUGGACAAUGCCCGCAAGGGUGAUCCAGCCAUCCCGCGUGCAGGAAGACUGCCCUAUGGGUUGUAAACUGCUUUUGUAAGGGAAGAAACCCCCUGAUGCGUUAGGGGUUGACGGUACCUUAAGAAUAAGCACCGGCUAACUCCGUGCCAGCAGCCGCGGUA
rnacentral:rRNA from 1 species